rnacentral:lncRNA from 1 species
AGCUACAUUUACGUGUUCAACGAAUGGGUGGAUACUCCAACUUGCAUUUUGUAAUGUGGUUGGAUACAACUGGGC